UACUGGUUUAGCUCCAAUGGUAGAGCAGUCGCCUUGUAAGCGAAUGGGUAGCGGUUCAAGUCCGUUAACCAGCACCCA
rnacentral:tRNA from 1 species